AACGAACGCUGGCGGCAUGCCUAACACAUGCAAGUCGAACGAGACCUUCGGGUCUAGUGGCGCACGGGUGCGUAACGCGUGGGAACCUGCCCUUAGGUUCGGAAUAACUCCCCGAAAGGGGUGCUAAUACCGGAUAAUGUCUUCGGACCAAGGAUUUAUCGCCUUUGGAUGGGCCCGCGUUGGAUUAGCUAGUUGGUAGGGUAAAAGCCUACCAAGGCGACGAUCCAUAGCUGGUCUGAGAGGAUGAUCAGCCACACUGGGACUGAGACACGGCCCAGACUCCUACGGGAGGCAGCAGUGGGGAAUAUUGGACAAUGGGCGAAAGCCUGAUCCAGCAAUGCCGCGUGAGUGAUGAAGGCCUUAGGGCUGUAAAGCUCUUUUACCCGGGAUGAUAAUGACAGUACCGGGAGAAUAAGCUCCGGCUAACUCCGUG
rnacentral:rRNA from 1 species